CUUUUUUAUAGUGUAACAAAACAUAUUACAUUUUCAUUGUAAAGCUGAAGAACUUUCCCUUCUAAAAAU
rnacentral:tRNA from 1 species